UACGUAGGGGGCAAGCGUUGUCCGGAUUUAUUGGGCGUAAAGAGCGUGUAGGCGGUUAGGUAGGUCCGUUGUGAAAACUCGAGGCUCAACCUCGAGACGCCGAUGGAAACCAUCUAACUAGAGUCCGGAAGAGGAGAGUGGAAUUCCUGGUGUAGCGGUGAAAUGCGCAGAUAUCAGGAAGAACACCCGUGGCUAAGGCGGCUCUCUAGUACGGGUACCGUAGACUGAGACGCGAAAAGCGUGGGGAGCGAACAGG
rnacentral:rRNA from 1 species